GCCUGAUUGAUUUCCACUCGGGACUUAAAAUCCCCCGCUCGUAAGGGCGUGCCGGUUCGAUUCCGGCUUCGGGCACCA
rnacentral:tRNA from 5 species